CCUACGGGUGGCAGCAGUCGAGAAUUUUUCUCAAUGGGGGCAACCCUGAAGGAGCGACGCCGCGUGGAGGAUGAAGGCUUUCGGGUUGUAAACUCCUGUCAUUUGAGAACUAGUAUCAGAAGAGGAAGAGACGGCUAACUCUGUGCCAGCAGCCGCGGUAAUACAGAGGUCUCAAGCGUUGUUCGGAUUCAUUGGGCGUAAAGGGUGCGUAGGUGGCGGGGUAAGUCAGGUGUGAAAUUUCGGAGCUUAACUCCGAAACUGCAUUUGAUACUGCCUUGCUUGAGGACUGGAGAGGAGACUGGAAUUCACGGUGUAGCAGUGAAAUGCGUAGAUAUCGUGAGGAAGACCAGUGGCGAAGGCGGGUCUCUGGACAGUCCUGACACUGAGGCACGAAGGCCAGGGGAGCAAACGGGAUUAGAUACCCUUGUAGUC
rnacentral:rRNA from 1 species